rnacentral:rRNA from 1 species
GAUGAACGCUGGCGGCGUGCCUAAUACAUGCCAGUCGAGCGAACAGACGAGGAGCUUGCUCCUCUGACGUUAGCGGCGGACGGGUGAGUAACACGUGGAUAACCUACCUAUAAGACUGGGAUAACUUCGGGAAACCGGAGCUAAUACCGGAUAAUAUAUUGAACCGCAUGGUUCAAUAGUGAAAGACGGUUUUGCUGUCACUUAUAGAUGGAUCCGCGCCGCAUUAGCUAGUUGGUAAGGUAACGGCUUACCAAGGCGACGAUGCGUAGCCGACCUGAGAGGGUGAUCGGCCACACUGGAACUGAGACACGGUCCAGACUCCUACGGGAGGCAGCAGUAGGGAAUCUUCCGCAAUGGGCGAAAGCCUGACGGAGCAACGCCGCGUGAGUGAUGAAGGUCUUCGGAUCGUAAAACUCUGUUAUUAGGGAAGAACAAAUGUGUAAGUAACUAUGCACGUCUUGACGGUACCUAAACAGAAAGCCACGGCUAACUACGUG